AGGGAAAUGAAUUUUUUUUUACACACACACACGCACACACACACACAUACACACACACUCACACUCACUCUUAGCUAAUUACUUCAAAUGUUUUUAAAAAGUAUAUUAAAGAUGCCUUUUCAUGUAGUAUUUAAAUAUCUGUUACAGGUUUCCAAGGUGGACUUGAACAGAUGGCCUUAUAUUACCAAAACUUUUAUAUUCUAGUUGUUUUUGUACCUUUUUGCAUACAAGCUGAACGUUUGUGCUUCCCGCGCAGUGUAAGACUCGGCACAGGUUUUAGAGAAUGGAGUUGAACAUGAACUAGGAAGCCGGGCUCUGCCCAAGAUGAAAGCCAGGACUCCCCCACACCCCACGUCCAAGGACAGGCCGGUGUGAGGGCGCUGCCCCCCCACGCACAGCCUGGACGGGAUGUCUCCAAGCUCUUGUUCUCCUCAGCAUCCUGACAGGCGUACACACUGUCGUGUAUGAAUAUUUUUUAGCAAAAGUUUCACAGUAAGCUAGUCUUCCCCUCUGCUUUCUCCAAAGCUUACUGAGCCCGGGGCUGGGAGGCCCGGCCAGGAACAGACCUCUUCCACAGGCUUACGGCUUUUCCAGGCACCUUGAAGCAUCAGGGUGGACAGUCAGAUUAGAGGCGGGCCGGGAAAAGCACUGUUCUCCUGCUCAAGAAGGGCAGGUCUCCUGAAACUGCAUUAAUUCUUUAUAGAAAUGUGAACACUGAAUUUAUUUUAAAAAAUAAUAAAAACAAAACAUUUUAAAAAAAUCAAAAAAAGAAAAAAUGGAAAAAAAAACCCACAGAAAACAACUUAACGUGUAUAUAGGUUUUGAAGGGAGUGAAAUGAAUGCGGUUUUCUUUUCUUCUGGGGUUUAUUUUUUUUCUUUUUGGCUUGGCUGGUUGGUUUGUGUAGAGAAGAUUUGAGAUGGUACUCUAUUCUAAUCAAAAGUGAGGUUUUGUAGUGGGACCAGAAAUUACUAAGCCCACACCCCCUCCCUAACCCCAAUUCUGCUGCAUGGGAAGUUCUCCACCUGCUGCCAAGGCAGAGCUCCUGGUCUCCCAUGAAGAUGCUGUCAGCUGUCAGUCUAGCACCCCGGAGCAUCAGGCACCAGACGUGCUUGGCACUAGGGUACCUGGCAGCCGGCAGAGAACCAGGAUGAUGCUUCGGUUUUGACCUGUGAGAGCAAGAGUAGGUGGCUUCCUUCUCCCUCCCUGGGGAGGACUCACCAUUCACCUUCAGUCCAGGGGCCUGGGGUUCAGGAGCCAGGUAUAAGACCCUACCCUCGUCCCCUACACCCCCAUCUCCCAGGCUCAUGAUGGUGCUACCUACGAAAGUCUCCCCCGCACCCUCUGCUAGCCCAGUCAGUGGUCAGACUUGGAGGAGGAUCCGACAGGAGGGUGUAACUGUGAGAUAAAAAUGUCUUGGUUGUACCUGUUUGUGGCUUAGCUUUGUAUUUAAAUAGCAAACAAACAAAAAAAAAGGAAAUAAACUUGAAACUUAUUUGUCAUCUUAAGAAUAAAGC
rnacentral:lncRNA from 1 species